AACAGAGACGGCGGCCCAUCGUCUCCAUCUUAUCUCCCUCCGAAACCCCCAGUCCUUCUAUCCACACCCGCAAGCCGCGCACGCGCGCCAUCCGCUCCGACGCCAGCCAUGGCUUCCAUCACCCUCCUCUCUCUCGCUCCCACCACCACCUUCCUCCACAUCCCGGCCUCCGCUGCCGCCCCCGGGGCCCUCACCAGCCGCCGGGCCGCGCCCCGCGCCCUCCCGCUCCGCGCGCGCCCGCCCCGCCGCGUCACCGUCGUCUGCAGCGGCGCCGCGGCGACAGCCGAGGCUUCGGAUGCGGCGCCCGCGGAGAAGUUCCGGCUCGACAACCUGAGCCCGCAGAAGGGCUCGCGACGGCGGCCCAAGCGGAAGGGGCGCGGUAUCGCGGCGGGCCAGGGCGCGAGCUGCGGGUUCGGGAUGCGAGGACAGAAGUCGCGCUCGGGGCCCGGCGUCCGGCGCGGGUUCGAGGGAGGGCAGAUGCCGCUCUACCGCCGUAUCCCCAAGCUUCGUGGCAUUGCCGGCGGAAUGCACAUUGGGCUGCCGAAGUAUGUGCCAUUCAAUUUAAAAGACAUAGUACGUGGUGGGUUCAAGGAUGGUGACGAGAUAUCACUGGAGUCCUUGAAAUCGAGGGGUUUGAUCAACCCGUCUGGCAGGGAAAGGAAGCUGCCACUAAAGAUUUUAGGAGAUGGUGAUGUAUCUGUCAAGUUGAGCAUCAAGGCUGGAGCAUUCUCAGCUUCAGCUAAGGAGAAGCUCGAGGCAGCUGGUUGUACUCUGACUCUGUUGCCUAAACGGAAGAAAUGGCUUUCACAAGCUUAUCUGAAGAAUCAAGCCCGCGCAGAAGAGUACUUUGCCAAGAAAAAAGGCGGCGCUGGUGAAUCUGAUGGCGCCUCUGUGUAGAAUUCAUAUGUGCUUUAUUGUACAGGGCACACCACACGUCAUUCUAUUUGCAUUUAACAAUUCGUUGAGAUUACAUUUCAACAAAACUCAUGCAUGGAGGAUGCGUAUUUGAAGAAGUUAUGUUAAGAUGGUGGUACAAGAUGAAAGUCUAAUAUCACUGCAAAUAUUUGGACGAUAUGCAUGUCUGGAUCCUCACAGACAAAUUUGAAGUUUUGUUAGAAACAUCCUUGGACUGAUGGAUGCAGUGUACAAUGAUACUGAAAUUUCCUACGUCAGGAACUGUUUCAAACAAAGUUGUGGUAGAAGAUAGAAUACUGCGAAGUUGCUGUGUUAUAGAGAUGUCAUGAUAUCGUAUUAGACUGAUGUACACAUAUGCUUAUCAAGUAAGGUUUCCUUUGAAUGCAUGUAACAAAGUGUUCCUUUCCUUGUCAA